UUUUGCAGAUCCUGAGAGAUUUAGAUUUACAAGAGACACAUCAUUUGGAAGAAGGCAUUUGAACUUUUGGAGCCAGCCACCAUUUUCACUUUGGAUUGUAUGUUUUACAGACAAUUCUUUGGGUCAGUCACUAAGGUUGAUUACAUGACACUGAGGCAUGGAUUUGUCAUGAUAUGCUACCCAAUCAUGGCCUGAAAGUUGCUUUAAAUUGCACAAAAUUGAUCACUGGACCUGAUGAAUACUGCCUAUGCUUUUCCCAUUUCAGGCACAUUUGGCUCCAGAAAGUGAAACAAGAUUUGAUUUUCAUAAAUACAUUAGCAGAACACUUGAAGAGGAUUUUGUAGUUGUUGGGAUAACAUUAGUGUUUCAGCCUUUAAACUCAUCAGCUUAUAUAUACAUAUAUAUAUUUAUAUAUGUGAGGAUAACACUUGAACUGUGCUUUAUAUAUAUAUUCAGCCCACUCAUUUGGUUCGUUGCAGUAUUGUUUCUACUGUCUAACACAUAUGGUAAGUUAGACACUUUGUUCUAUUAUUAUUAAAACUUUUAAUACACUCUUAGUUAGCAUUUCACUGACUGCGAAAUGUUAUUCUUUUUAACAGGAAUUUACUCUUAUCUAUGGCUGUCAUUUCUACCUUUGAUUGUACGUACAUCACAAUGCACAAACAAUAGAGACUAUGCUUACUGAUUUCCUUAAUUUAUUACUUGUUUAAAACCCAAGUUAUGGUCAUCGAUUGGUAUUUUCGUGGACUUACUAGUUUGUGUAUCUGCUUCUCUAGAUUUGUUGAAGGCAUGGAUCUAGUGUAUUUUAGAUCUACUUGGCAAUAAGCUUGGCAUCUUAUACAGGAUGGUUCAUCUAAUAACUUCUAGCACUAGGCGACAUGUUUUUGUGUAAGUUGUUUUUAUUAAACUGAAUGAUCAUUUGGAGUUUGUACCAGCACUAUAGUUUCGUAUUUUGUUAAUGAAUCAACAUCCACAUGCAUAGCUUUUUCCAUUUGUAGCUUCUUGAUUCUUCAUAGCUUCUUCAUAAGGUUUGAGUUAUUUUCUUGCAAUACACAUGGCUGACAUAAAGCAUAAAUAAGGAUUUCAGUACUUUUAGUUUGAUAUACUUUUCUUUGAAUUUGUAAAACUUUAUGCAAUCUAUUACUUGGUUAGAAAGAUUCUAGAUGUGAGGCAUUUGAUGCACUUAUUUCUGGUUAACAGAUUUCUCUUCACCUAUUACUUAUUUUCUUUUGUUUUAGUUGUCAUUUUUUUAAUCAAAUGUUGAGCUAUUGACAGAGAUAAUUUUUUAUUGUUACCACACUUUGCUUUGAACAUAUUAUUUAUUGUUAAUGGCUUCAUGCCAAGUGUGAUUACAUCUAUGGACCCAUGGAGAAUUUGUUAGAUGCUUUAGGACCCAUCGAAUGGAUGUUUCAGGAACUAAAGAGAGAGCACAGCAGCGGCUGCACUCAAGUCACUUCAACAUAAACUUGAGAAAUACAAGAUAGAGUUGAAUAAUUCGAAUAAGAAUACUCAUAACUUGUUCAUGUUGUACUUAACUGAUUACUUAUAAAUUGAGAUUAUAUUUGUACCAAUUUGAUGAAAUAUAUUUUGAUUAA